GCGAGUAGGAGAAAUGGAACGCAAUUGUUCGAUUGCUUAUGGUGCUAGCAUGCUGAUUUUCGAACACUUAAUGAUCUCAAAUGAACCUUUUGAAGUUCAGAAAAAUCAUUGUAAAAUAGUUCCAAAAUGGGUUUGAGACUAUUCCAGGCAUAGGCUGCAGAGUCUAAAGAUAGACAGGUCCGCGGACUUUGUGGCUUGUUGGGAUAUUACAACCACAAGCUAAAAACGGGAAUUUGUUCAUAUAUGCGUGCAAGCUCUUAAUCCAUGAACUUCAAUCUAUGAGUGACGUUCCUCGCUUAAAACUAGUAGAAGCAUGACCCGAAUCAAAGCCUUGAUUCAAACUAGUCAAGACUGUACAAAAACGAAAAUUUUGGCCCAGUUAUCCAAAUUGCAGACAGCUUUAUGCACGCUAUUCUGGAGAUUGCAUCACACAGGAUAAAAUGAGGCCUUUAGGUUCGCACAUGCACAACAAAAUGUCACCAAGAGGCAAAUGCAUUUCUGCGCAUCUUAGACAGAAAGAACAAUGACAAAGGGAAUCUCAUAUCAUCGGAAUUUUGAUUAUACUGAUCAACUACCAUCCUGAAUGGAACAAAAUUCGCAAGAAUUUAUCAGCGGAACUGGUUGAACAAUACAGAGAUUGUACAGAAGACGGCCGAUUGUUGUUUGUGAAAGGAAGGAGCUCUCCCAAGUGUCCAUAUUCAGAUCUACAUAAGCUAGAUGGAGAAGAAAAUCAAUGGUGUUCUGAGCACAUUGGCAGAGCAACAGGGAAAAAGUUUCUAGAAACUACAGUUGGUAGAAAGAAGGGGGCAACGAGUUCGAUGACUAACUAAUGAUCUUUCUUGAGACGGGAUUUCUUCAUUAUGGAUUUAGAUACCUGCAGACCCUGACUUAAGAUGUCACGAGUUUUCCUUUUCUUC